GGGGAUGACCGGCUUCGAAGGAGAUUUGAAGGCAAAAAACUUCAUGCCGAGGGUGCCUGGCAACCUCGCAAAUCCGCUAGGCAGUUCUAAGUGCAAACUAUCAACCAGCACUCGCCUACGCUUAAUUUAGCGUAAGCCGUUCCGGCUCUUGAGGCCUCAUAAAGAGCUUGGAGCGUAAAAUUAUGGGGCUUGGUUUCAAACAAGCUUCGGUUUGCAACGACUCAAAGAAGUAAAGUUUCGCAAUGUUUUGUUCCGUCUUCAGUUGCGAAACGAAAAUAAGACGGGACUACGCCUGUAAACGUUUCUGCCCGAAAUUUCCUGACGCGGGUUCAAUUCCCGCCAUCUCCACAA
rnacentral:tmRNA from 1 species